UAGGGAAUCUUCCGCAAUGGACGCAAGUCUGACGGAGCAACGCCGCGUGAGUGAAGAAGGAUUUCGGUUCGUAAAACUCUGUUGUUAGAGAAGAACAGCGCAUAGAGUAACUGUUAUGCGUGUGACGGUAUCUAACCAGAAAGCCACGGCUAACUACGUGCCAGCAGCCGCGGUAAUACGUAGGUGGCAAGCGUUGUCCGGAUUUAUUGGGCGUAAAGCGAGCGCAGGCGGUCAAUUAAGUCUGAUGUGAAAGCCCCCGGCUCAACCGGGGAGGGUCAUUGGAAACUGUUUAACUUGAGUGCAGAAGGGGAGAGUGGAAUUCCAUGUGUAACGGUGAAAUGCGUAGAUAUAUGGAGGAACACCGGUGGCGAAAGCGGCUCUCUGGUCUGUAACUGACGCUGAGGCUCGAAAGCGUGGGGAGCGAACAGG
rnacentral:rRNA from 1 species